UACGGAGGGUGCAAACGUUGCUCGGAAUCAUUGGGCGUAAAGCGCACGUAGGCGGACUGUUAAGUCGGAUGUGAAAUCCCUCAGCUUAACUGAGGAAGUGCACUCGAAACUGGCAGUCUUGAAUAUGGAAGAGGGUCGCGGAAUUCCUGGUGUAGCGGUGAAAUGCGUAGAUAUCAGGAGGAACACCGGUGGUGUAGACGGCUUACUGGACCAUAACUGACGCUGAGACACGAAAGCGUGGGUAGCAAACAGG
rnacentral:rRNA from 1 species